rnacentral:rRNA from 1 species
AGUGAACGCUGGCGGUAGGCCUAACACAUGCAAGUCGAACGGCAGCACAGUAAGAGCUUGCUCUUACGGGUGGCGAGUGGCGGACGGGUGAGGAAUACAUCGGAAUCUACUUUUUCGUGGGGGAUAACGUAGGGAAACUUACGCUAAUACCGCAUACGACCUACGGGUGAAAGCAGGGGAUCUUCGGACCUUGCGCGAUUGAAUGAGCCGAUGUCGGAUUAGCUAGUUGGCGGGGUAAAGGCCCACCAAGGCGACGAUCCGUAGCUGGUCUGAGAGGAUGAUCAGCCACACUUGAACUUAGACACGGUCCAGACUCCUACGGGAGGCAGCAGUGGGGAAUAUUGGACAAUGGGCGCAAGCCUGAUCCAGCCAUACCGCGUGGGUGAAGAAGGCCUUCGGGUUGUAAAGCCCUUUUGUUGGGAAAGAAAAGCAGCAGGUUAAUACCCCGCUGUUCUGACGGUACCCAAAGAAUAAGCACCGGCUAACUUCGUG